GAUGAACGCUGGCGGCGUGCCUAAUACAUGCAAGUCGAGCGAACAGACGAGGAGCUUGCUCCUCUGACGUUAGCGGCGGACGGGUGAGUAACACGUGGAUAACCUACCUAUAAGACUGGGAUAACUUCGGGAAACCGGAGCUAAUACCGGAUAAUAUAUUGAACCGCAUGGUUCAAUAGUGAAAGACGGUUUUGCUGUCACUUAUAGGUGGAACCGCGCCGCAUUAGCUAGUUGGUAAGGUAACGGCUUACCAAGGCAACGAUGCGUAGCCGACCUGAGAGGGUGAUCAGCCACACUGGAACUGAGACACGGUCCAGACUCCUACGGGAGGCAGCAGUAGGGAAUCUUCCGCAAUGGGCGAAAGCUUGACGGAGCCACGCCGCGUGAGUGAUGAAGGUCUUCGGAUCGUAAAACUCUGUUAUUAGGGAAGAACAAAUGUGUGAGUAACUAUGCACGUCUUGACGGUACCUAAUCAGAAAGCCACGGCUAACUACGUG
rnacentral:rRNA from 1 species